GUGUAAACCCCACUCGGAGCAAGGCCAAAUAGGAACCCAUCGAUGCUGCUCGCAUUGGGUUCGGGUAGGCCGCUAAAGGCUUGCGGUGACGUAAGCCAUAGAUGAAUGAUUGUCCUCGACAGAACCCGGCUUAUAGGCUGGCUCACUUU
rnacentral:RNase_P_RNA from 1 species